UAGGACGCCAGCUGGGCCUGAAGUUCCGCGUUGCGCCCCCUCGCCCGGUGGUCUUCCUCCUGCAGCUGCUCCGGGAGGAUCACGGAGUCAUUUUUGCUGUCUUCAACGUCAAGAUUCUCACUUCUACUCGGGGGUCCAAAAGUCCGGCGCAAGUGGAAGCGACGACGUCCACGUGAACUUUUGCACCCCAGACGGGAGCCUCUCAAUGUGCCGGCACCGAUGGCGAUAUCGAUACCGGCGAUACCGGGCUUGGUGUUUACCUGGUAUCGGCUGGAUCGGCUCGCGGCAUCGCACGCCGCUCAUCACUCGGAGCGCUCCUCAUUUCGAAUUCAUCCUCACGACGCCGAUUCCAUUUGCCGUCGGCCAGGUGAUUGCAGAAUUUCCAAGACGUUCACGCGGCGGGUCAAAGUUCGCCGGCAAGUCUCGCCGUCUUUGGGGCGUCGCCGCUCGCCGCGUCUCCUUUCCGCACCUCCUCGAGACAUUCUG